rnacentral:rRNA from 1 species
CACGUAGGGGGCGAGCGUUGUUCGGAAUUAUUGGGCGUAAAGGGUGCGCAGGCUGCAUAGGUAGUCUGAUGUAAAAUGUCUCGGCUUAACCGAGGCCUGCCAUUGGAAACUGCUAUGCUAGAGUACAGGAGGGGGAGUUGGAAUUCCAGGUGUAGGGGUGAAAUCUGUAGAUAUCUGGAGGAACAUCGGUGGCGAAGGCGAACUUCUGGCCAUGUACUGACGCUGAGGCACGAAGGCGUGGGGAGCAAACAGGUUUAGAUACCCUGGUAGUCCACGCAGUAAACGAUGUACACUAGGUGGUGGGAGUUACUCUCAGUACCGAAGCUAACGCAUUAAGUGUACCGCCUGGGGAGUAUGCUCGCAAGGGUGAAACUCAAAGGAAUUGACGGGGGCCCGCACAAGCGGUGGAGCAUGUGGUUUAAUUCGAUGAUACGCGAGGAACCUUACCAGGGUUUGACAUACGAUGGAAUGGGAGAGAGAUUUUCCAGCCUUUCGGGGUCGUCGUACAGGUGCUGCAUGGCU